rnacentral:rRNA from 1 species
CGAGCACGCGCGUGUGGCAUAUCAAUAAGCGGAGGAAAAGAAACUAACAAGGAUUCCCUUAGUAACGGCGAGUGAAGCGGGAAGAGCUCAAAUUUGAAAUCUUCAAGGUUCUACCUUGACGAAUUGUAGUUUAUAGAAGUGUUUUCUGUUAGUGGAGUGGCAAAAGUUCUUUGGAAUAGGACAUCAUAGAGGGUGAGAAUCCCGUAUUUGGUCAUUCCUCCUAGCGUUGUGAUACACUUUCAACGAGUCGGAUUGUUUGGGAAUGCAGUCCAAAAUGGGUGGUAAAUUUCAUCUAAAGCUAAAUAUUGGCGAGAGACCGAUAGCGAACAAGUACCGUGAGGGAAAGAUGAAAAGGACUUUGAAAAGAGAGUUAAACAGUACGUGAAAUUGUCAAAAGGGAAGCGUUUGACACCAGUGUUGUUUUUCCGAAAAUCAAUUACGAAUGUUUUGUUUUUAAGGAGUUAUGACUUCAUCGGCUUGCUCCUUCCUUUACGAAACUUUCUUAAUGCACUUUUCGGUUAACAAGUCAACAUCAAUUUCUUUUGUUGUAAAAGGGUAUGAGGAAGGUGGCUUUCUUUUCGGAGAAAGUGUUUAUAGCCUUGUGCCUCUACAAUCGGAGAGAUUGAGGUCUGCAGCGUAGAUCCUUCGGGGUUAGAUACGUCUGUGCUAAGUUAUAGCUUUUCAUAGACAACUUGUUGACUAUGUUUAGUCUUGUAGCUUACUCGCUGACGCUAUCUUACCUACGCUUAGGAUGUUGAACUCUAUCACACACAG